rnacentral:rRNA from 1 species
UACGUAGGGACCAAGCGUUGUCCGGAAUUAUUGGGCGUAAAGAGCUCGUAGGCGGCUGUCCACGUCGGAUGUGAAAGCUCGGGGCUCAACCCUGAGAGGCCAUUCGAUACGGGAUAGCUAGAGGUAGGUAGGGGAGAUUGGAAUUCCUGGUGUAGCGGUGAAAUGCGCAGAUAUCAGGAGGAACACCGGUGGCGAAGGCGGAUCUCUGGGCCUUGCCUGACGCUGAGGCGCGAAAGCUAGGGGAGCGAACAGG